AAAGUGCUACCAAGUGGAGGUGU
rnacentral:miRNA from 1 species